UUUGCCAAUUAGUGAUUGCCAAAUCCUUGACACCUGACAUGCACAUAUUUAAAUAGACUGGGUGUAUACCUGACACCUGCCUGUGAUCCUAUCUUCAUACUAUGCUGGACACACCACACAUAGGAUACGCUUUUUCUUGCUCUCUCUGGAGAUCGCUUCCAUACUCAUAUUCUAAACAUUUAAUAAGGCAUCACUCUGGCAAUUGCUUUGCUGGGCUCCCCCUCCACCUGUCCGGCCCGCACUCUCUAACUGGACUUUUGGAUUUUUUCCCAGUUAUACUGUGGGUCCCUGCAGGCCACUCUUGUGGGGCAUCGUUGAGGCCUUUUUGGG